rnacentral:SRP_RNA from 1 species
GCUGGGCGUGGUGGCGCACACCUGUAGUCCCAGCUACUGGGGAGGCUGAGGCAGAAGAAUCGCUCGAACCUGGGAGGCAGAGGUUGCAGUGAGCGGAGAUCGCGCCACUGCACUCCGGCCUGGGUGACAGAGCAAGACUCUGUCUCAA